ACACCCGUCCCCCCGCGCCCCCCUUUCUAAACAGCUCUCUCCUCCUCCUGCAUCCUUUCCGUCUUUGUAACUGCUUCGCCCACACGGAGCAAGCAGAAGCCCUCAUUCUUGCCGCUGCCAGAUUUCUCAACCCUCACCGCCUAUGCAUACCCAACUCGAGCUGCAAACUUCUAGAAUGAUUUGUAAUUAUUGACUUCCUGGCUGGCUGAGUCUGGCUCCCAUCUCCAGCACCAGAGAGACGCUGUCCUGGCGAGCACGAUCACCUCCGAGCCCAGAGCUUUUCACCUCAUGGGACAUGGAAACCCUCCUUCACUGGUUUCCUUCCUGACAUUUUUUACUUUUUCAACAUAUUUUGCACAGGAGCCCACACUGAAUACUCUUAGGGCAUAUUGCUUGAUAGCUCGUUGUCCUUGUUCACGUCUGGCUGGCUCGGAGAAGACGGAUUGGGUGGGGAAGGGCUGAGCCAAGAUUCCAGCAGAUCCACUGGCUCUAAGCAUCCAGCCACAGAAGCGUGGCGUUGGAGAUGGGACUUUUCGAGCACUCAGAAAUGUGCAUCUGGAGAGCUGAGCUGCGCCCAGAAGGUUGUCUGCAGACAGGGUGGAGCUGGUGGCGUGUGCAAGCCAUUCCCGCAGAAGCAGGGCACUGCCCACGACCGUCAGCACGGCGUCUGUAUCCUGGAAACCAGCAGGUGGGAGCAGGUGGGAGCUGCUGCAGCAGACACUGAACGCUGAUUUAUGGACAGAUUGGGGCUUGUUGGCAGAAAGCCGAAACGCCAGCGCGGCCGAGCGCUGUGAGGGGCAGCCUGGAAACCCGCAGGAUGAUGAGAAGGCCGGGAUGGAAUGGAACUCGUGGGGAGAGAGAAGUGAAGACAGAAGGCCACAUUUCUUUUCCUGCAGUAAACCACUGCAUGAGAGGCACGGUACGCUGCCUGCCUCUGCUCCCCAAACUCUCGGGGGGCGCUUGGUAACUGCCUAGCUGUGUAUCUGUCUAGGUCAGCCGGGUGCCAAUCACAGAGCUCCUUGGAAGAGAGCUGAGGGAUGCUCUGAUCUCCGCUGGCCUGCAUCCCUCAGCUCUCCCCUUCGGUGCAGAAUGCUGCCCUCCCCCCACGUGGGCGCCUGUGGGUUCCCUGCCUGACCUGCCUCCAGCCCGAGCAGC
rnacentral:lncRNA from 1 species